rnacentral:siRNA from 1 species
ACCUAACCCUUUCUUAAGGAACCA